GGCGGAUGGGUGAGUAACACGUGGGGAACCUGCCCCUAAGUCUGGGAUACCAUUUGGAAACAGGUGCUAAUACCGGAUAAUAAAGCAGAUCGCAUGAUCAGCUUUUGAAAGGCGGCGUAAGCUGUCGCUAAGGGAUGGCCCCGCGGUGCAUUAGCUAGUUGGUAAGGUAACGGCUUACCAAGGCGACGAUGCAUAGCCGAGUUGAGAGACUGAUCGGCCACAUUGGGACUGAGACACGGCCCAAACUCCUACGGGAGGCAGCAGUAGGGAAUCUUCCACAAUGGACGCAAGUCUGAUGGAGCAACGCCGCGUGAGUGAAGAAGGUUUUCGGAUCGUAAAGCUCUGUUGUUGGUGAAGAAGGAUAGAGGUAGUAACUGGCCUUUAUUUGACGGUAAUCAACCAGAAAGUCACGGCUAACUACGUGCCAGCAGCCGCGGUAAUACGUAGGUGGCAAGCGUUGUCCGGAUUUAUUGGGCGUAAAGCGAGCGCAGGCGGAAAAAUAAGUCUAAUGUGAAAGCCCUCGGCUUAACCGAGGAACUGCAUCGGAAACUGUUUUUCUUGAGUGCAGAAGAGGAGAGUGGAACUCCAUGUGUAGCGGUGGAAUGCGUAGAUAUAUGGAAGAACACCAGUGGCGAAGGCGGCUCUCUGGUCUGCAACUGACGCUGAGGCUCGAAAGCAUGGGUAGCGAACAGGAUUAGAUACCCCUGGUAGUCCAUGCCGUAAACGAUGAAGUGCUAAGUGUUUGGGAGGUUUCCGCC
rnacentral:rRNA from 1 species